rnacentral:rRNA from 1 species
AGUGAACGCUGGCGGUAGGCCUAACACAUGCAAGUCGAACGGCAGCACAGUCAGAGCUUGCUCUUACGGGUGGCGAGUGGCGGACGGGUGAGGAAUACAUCGGAAUCUACUUUUUCGUGGGGGAUAACGUAGGGAAACUUACGCCAAUACCGCAUACGACCUACGGGUGAAAGCAGGGGAUCUUCGGACCUUGCGCGAUUGAAUGAGCCGGUGUCGGAUUAGCUAGUUGGCGGGGUAAAGGCCCACCAAGGCGACGAUCCGUAGCUGGUCUGAGAGGAUGAUCAGCCACACUGGAACUGAGACACGGUCCAGACUCCUACGGGAGGCAGCAGUGGGGAAUAUUGGACAAUGGGCGCAAGCCUGAUCCAGCCAUACCGCGUGGGUGAAGAAGGCCUUCGGGUUGUAAAGCCCUUUUGUUGGGAAAGAAAAGCAGCAGGUUAAUACCCCGCUGUUCUGACGGUACCCAAAGAAUAAGCACCGGCUAACUUCGUG